rnacentral:lncRNA from 1 species
UUCAGGCAUCUGCAGAUACAUCCCUUUGAAAAAUGAAUCCUUCUCACUAGAGACCAUAGAGAGAACCUGCAUUUCAAUGAUAAUUAAAUGUCAUUUCAAGACAUCAAAUCAAAAUAUCAAAGGAGAUUAGAUCACUGUGACUACCUAUGCAGUCUUUCUCUACCUUUAAAGAUCCAAGGAACUAUUCUCACUCCAGUGACCUGUUAGAACCCGUUGACAGCUCACAAGUGGCUGUAAUUUCAGCAUCACGGAACCUCACACCUUCUUCAACCUCCUGGACAGUAGGCAUGCAUGUGUUGCACAUGUGAACAAGCAUAUGUACAACUAAAAGUAUAAAAACAGAAGAGCAGUUCCUGCUUGACAUAAUUUGAUUUUCGUGAAUAUUCAUAGUAAUGAUCACAGUCAAAUAAACACUUUAUUGUUCUAUAGUGCAAUCAAAACCACUAAAAGUUAAUGAUCACAUGAGUC